rnacentral:rRNA from 1 species
AUGAACCUGUGGUCUCAUCUCGGCGUGGGCUCAUCGGUCGUGGGUGAGUUCCAGAUGGAGAAGAGCGCAGAGGGCAGAACCGUCGUCAGGGAAACGGUGCUUGUCCUCUCCCAUGAAAGUGUGCCCACGCAUGAGCUUGUCGAUCCCGUGCUGCAUCCGCAAGAGCUAGGUCAGCAGGCGGCAGGAGAUGGAGACCAUGGCCAAGAAGAGAAUGGGGAGGCUAGGGCAGCCGCUAUUGUGGGCGACGUGCAUGGCCUUUUCCAUGUCUCACAAGCCCUUUGUGCAUGCGAUGUGCCAGAGGUGGAGCCGGAGGAGCAUGGGUCAGCUCGUGAAGUGGCAAGGACCCAGUCAAGGGAGGAUGGCGGGUCAAAUGCAGCGCCGGAUGCCGCAGAAGGGGUCUUUGGGCCGCACUCCCCUAUGGGAUGCCCAAUUGAUGGGCUGCAAGUGUUGGGCCUUAACCGGGUGGGCUCGGAGCAGCGUGAUAAGGCCGAUGCUAGAGGGGAGGGGGAGCCUGUUGACCCUCUCGGUCAUUUCCUCAUCGAUUGCACCUCUCCACUGCCAGCCGCUCUCAUCCCUAACCCUGUAGACGCCGGCAAGCAGGAUGGGGGCGCAGCCGGGAAGCUUACAAGACGGAGCAGCGGCAGGCUAGCCGCCAAGCCAACAGCAGGGUGGUCCACCAUGGAUAAAGUGCAGCUCGUCCUCAUGAAGAAAGGGGAUGUGUGGGCGGGAGACUCGCCGGCGGCGGAUGCAUCCGCGGCGGACCUGCAGAAGUACAGAGAUCUGUACAAGCAACCGCUGCCUGACAAGUUUGUCGCUGCGGUAACCGAGUUGGUGAACUCGACGAGCAGCCACGGCAAGAAGAGCGUUCAAGUGGAGCUAAGGCGGGAGCAGGUGCCUGUCGCCUGA